AACUUUCAACAACGGAUCUCUAGGCUCUUGCAUCGAUGAAGAACGCAGUGAAAUGUGAUAAGUAAUGUGAAUUGCAGAAUCUCGUGAAUCAUCAAAUAUUUGAACGCA
rnacentral:rRNA from 1 species